rnacentral:rRNA from 1 species
GAUGAACGCUGGCGGCGUGCCUAAUACAUGCAAGUCGAGCGAACGGACGAGAAGCUUGCUUCUCUGAUGUUAGCGGCGGACGUGGGAGUAACACGUGGAUAACCUACCUAUAAGACUGGGAUAACUUCGGGAAACCGGAGCUAAUCCCGGAUAAGAUUUUGAACCGCAUGGUUCAAAAGUGAAAUACGGUGUUUGUGUCACUUAUAGAUGGAUCCGCGCUGCAUUAGGUAGUUGGUAAGGUAACGGCUUACCAAGGCAACGAUGCAUAGCCGACGUGAGGGGGUGAUCGGCCACAGUAGAACUGAGACACGGUCCAGACUCCUACGGGACGCAGCAGUAGGGAAUCUUCCGCAAUGGGCGAAAGCAUGACGGAGCAACGCCGCGUGAGUGAUGAAGGUCUUCGGAUCGUGAAACUCUGUUAUUAGGGAAGAACAUAUGUGUAAGUAACUGUGCACAUAUUGACGGUACCUAAUCAGAAAGCAACGGCUAACUACGUG